rnacentral:rRNA from 1 species
AGAGUUUGAUCAUGGCUCAGAUUGAACGCUGGCGGCAGGCCUAACACAUGCAAGUCGAGCGGAUGAAGAGAGCUUGCUCUCUGAUUCAGCGGCGGACGGGUGAGUAAUGCCUAGGAAUCUGCCUGGUAGUGGGGGACAACGUUUCGAAAGGAACGCUAAUACCGCAUACGUCCUACGGGAGAAAGCAGGGGACCUUCGGGCCCUGCGCUAUCAGAUGAGCCUAGUCGGAUUAGCUAGUUGGUGAGGUAAUGGCUCACCAAGGCGACGAUCCGUAACUGGUCUGAGAGGAUGAUCAGUCACACUGGAACUGAGACACGGUCCAGACUCCUACGGGAGGCAGCAGUGGGGAAUAUUGGACAAUGGGCGAAAGCCUGAUCCAGCCAUGCCGCGUGUGUGAAGAAGGUCUUCGGAUUGUAAAGCACUUUAAGUUGGGAGGAAGGGCAUUAACCUAAUACGUUAGUGUUUUGACGUUACCGACAGAAUAAGCACCGGCUAACUCUGUGCCAGCAGCCGCGGUAAUACAGAGGGUGCAAGCGUUAAUCGGAAUUACUGGGCGUAAAGCGCGCGUAGGUGGUUCGUUAAGUUGGAUGUGAAAGCCCCGGGCUCAACCUGGGAACUGCAUUCAAAACUGACGAGCUGGAGUAUGGUAGAGGGUGGUGGAAUUUCCUGUGUAGCGGUGAAAUGCGUAGAUAUAGGAAGGAACACCAGUGGCGAAGGCGACCACCUGGACUGAUACUGACACUGAGGUGCGAAAGCGUGGGGAGCAAACAGGAUUAGAUACCCUGGUAGUCCACGCCGUAAACGAUGUCAACUAGCCGUUGGGAGCCUUGAGCUCUUAGUGGCGCAGCUAACGCAUUAAGUUGACCGCCUGGGGAGUACGGCCGCAAGGUUAAAACUCAAAGGAAUUGACGG